rnacentral:lncRNA from 1 species
UGCAGGGUCCGUCACAGAUUCGCCAGAGUGACCAGUUUCUCUUAAUGGAUAGCCACCUCCCCCGAUACGAGGAAAAAAAAGGCCAGGAACCAGGAUGGGAGAAGAGAGGGCAAAGAGGCUCCCUGCCUCAGCAAAAUGAUAGCGGUCCAUCACAACACCCCUGGCAGAGCACUUCCAAACCAACGAAACCAACGAUCCUACCCAAUGCACACCCCAGCUUGUGAGCGAAGAAGAGCAGGUUCUGUGGUUGCCACUUUACAGGUGGGAAAAUUGAGGCCCAGGAAGGUUCAGUGCCUGCCUACGGCUACAACUUGGAUGCUGAAGUCUGCACAGACAGGGAGGGGACAUUCUCC